AGUUAAUCAUCGCUUUUCGUCGGUGAUCGGUGAGAGUUUCCUAGUGAUUUUGACGGUGAUAUUUUGUUUGUUAAUUUAAUUCUAUAGAAGCUUUCUACUGUCUUUUCACAACGUGUUCAGGAUACUGACUAGUGAUUCUACACUUGUCACAUCACUCAAUCUUAGACCUGCCGUCUUCCCAGGAUUAUAUUCGUAACUAUGGCUUAUUCUUAAAUGAAAAGGUUAUGCUAGUAAGAAGACAUUGCUCAGCAAUUGACUACCGCCGCGCCCUGGAAGUGGCCGUUGGAGAGCGCCCUGGAAGUGAAGUUCUGUGUUAGUAUGUUGGCUUAAAUUCUAUAUAAGAUUCAGUUCAACACCUGGAAUCUCUUUUGAUAAACUGCUGCUAGAGUACAGUAGUUUCAUUGUUACUUUAAGGCAGAUAUUACCCAGAGCAACUGGUAUCAAGCAUUAGUAAUGACCUUCACAAGUUGUCUGGUUUGGAUUGGCUAUACUAGCCUUUUAUUUAUUUCUGUGGUCUAUAAUAAAAUUCUUAAUAUUCUUAAUUACACUUAAGUA